AGUGAACGCUGGCGGUAGGCCUAACACAUGCAAGUCGAACGGCAGCACAGAGGAGCUUGCUCCUUGGGUGGCGAGUGGCGGACGGGUGAGGAAUACAUCGGAAUCUACUCUGUCGCGGGGGACAACGUAGGGAAACUUACGCUAAUACCGCAUACGACCUACGGCUGAAAGUAGGGGAUCUUCGGACCUUGCGCGAUUGAAUGAGCCGAUGUCGGAUUAGAUAGUUGGCGGGGUAAAGGCCCACCAAGGCGACGAUCCGUAGCUGGUCUAAGAGGAUGAUCAGCCACACUGGAACUGAGACACGGUCCAAACUCCUACGGGAGGCAGCAGUGGGGAAGAUUGGACAAUGGGCGCAAGCCUGAUCCAGCCAUACCGCGUGGGUGAAGAAGGCCUUCGGGUUGUAAAGCCCUUUUGUUGGGAAAGAAAUCCAUCUGGUUAAUACCCGGGUGGGAUGACGGUACCCAAGGAAUAAGCACCGGCUAACUUCGUGCCAGCCGCCGCGGUAA
rnacentral:rRNA from 1 species